GACGAACGCUGGCGGCGUGCCUAAUACAUGCAAGUCGAACGGUCUUUUCUAUUGAAGCUUGCUUCCGCUGAGAAGAUAGUGGCGAACGGGUGAGUAACACGUGGGUAACCUGCCCCUAAGAGGGGGAUAACAUCCGGAAAAGGGUGCUAAUACCGCAUAGUUUUCUUGAUCGCAUGAUUGAGCAAGGAAAGACGGCCUUUGUGCUGUCGCUUAUGGAUGGACACGCGGCGAGUUAGUUAGUUGGUGAGGUAACGGCUCACCAAGACGGUGAUACGUAGCCGGCCUGAGAGUGUGAUCGGCCACAUUGGGACUGAGACACGGUCCAGACUCCUACGGGAGGCAGCAGUGAGGAAUAUUGCGCAAGUGCCGAAAGGCUGACGCAGCGACGCCGCGUGAAGGAUGAAGUCCGUUAGGAUGUAAACUUCUUUUGCAGGGGAUGAAUAGUCCGUUUUACGGAUCUGACCGUACGCUGCGAAUAAGGAUCGGCUAACUACGUGCCAGCAGCCGCAGUAAUAC
rnacentral:rRNA from 1 species